UUUCCUUCUUUAUUCCACGUGUUGUUUAGAUGUCUGCUAUACGCUGUUUUCUCAGACAUUUCUCUAUUCCUUGUUUUGAUUUAUUUUAUAGAUUUUGCUGGGAAUCGGCUUUUUACAACUAGUGGUAUUGGUAUUGGUAUCGGUUUGUUUUUAUUUUUUAAGUCAGCAUUAAUGUUGUAUCUUUAUAGUUUGCUAGUUUAGAAAUUUCAAUUGCCUGGGUAUUUGACACGUGAUGCUUGGAUUGCAUGUAUUUCAGGUUGGGUUUGUGCAAUUUUUUUAUGAAAAGCAGCGGUGCUCAGCAUGUUUGUUCUGGUUGUUGAUUCUGCCAGCAUCUAAUUGCACCUUUCACAUAUUUUAAAACUUAAAAUUUUCAGUUCGAUCAUUUAGUUGUAUGAUUUUUUUUAUUGUGUUAUUGAUUCUUGGUUUCAAAUAUUCUUGUAAUUCUGAAAAGCUGUGUGAAGAAUGUGGUGCUAAUCUAUCUACAAAGAUGGCAGAGAUAUUGAUUGGGGCUUUCUUUUUCUUGGUCGAUAACACCAAUAAGUUCUCUUUUCCUGUCAAUUUUUAAGUAAUUCUGUUUGCUUGUUCUAUUUUUUCUUUUGUUCUUGUUUUGAUGUUGUGGCAUGCGACUGCUUUUCUUAGGCAUUACGUUCCAAGGGGAUCCUCAAUUCUAGAAUGAAGUUAGGCUGUCCCUUCGUCCUCCUGUUGUGUUUCUUCCGGUAUGUUAGUUGACUCCUUGGUGCGAAUAACCCGUAUGUGGCCUUUGGACUUCUAUUUCUGCACCUAACCAUCUUUGGACAGUAAAAACACAGGUUUUUGCUUUAUCAUCUUGUGAUCGACAUUUGUGUUUUGAGAUUUAGAUCGAUUUAAGUUACAUUGCUGGACUGGUGUCACUAAUUGGUAAUCUCAGGUUAAUGCUCAUUACAUUACACAGAAAGUCGAGGGUAUGUCAACCAGGUCUGCAAUCUCAAGUUUUUACGUAGUGGGCGGAUUUUUAGGCAGCGAGUAACAUAUGCUUUUGCUGGUGAUGUUUGUUUCUUGGUGAUAUUGCUGGACUUGUGUAGCUAUUCAAUAAUCUCAGAUUAAUGCUUAAUAUAUUGCACAAAGUUAGUCGGUUGGUAACUUACAUGUCACCAGGUCAGCAAUCUAAAUUUUUUCCAGUUCUGGGUGGAUAUUUGAAGACUGAGUAACAUAGCUUCUUUUGCCAGUGAUGUCAGUUUCAUGGUUUUGUGACGUAGAUUCCUAUUUUGUGAAGUUUGUUGGGAUAUUGAUGAGGAAGUUGUUUGAAAAUAUGCCGUUGAUCUAUUCACAGGUGGAGGUUAUGAUUUGGGUUUUCUCGUGAGUGAGCAAGAGUUUUUGGAGUUGGCCUUUCUGCAGAAAUUAGUGAAAUGCUUUUUUUUUUUCCUUCUUUAUUCCACGUGUUGUUUAGAUGUCUGCUAUACGCUGUUCUCUCAGACAUUUCUCUAUUCCUUGUUUUGAUUUAUUUUAUAGAUUUUGUUGCGAAUCGGCUUUUUACAACUUUGGGUUCUUGCAAAGUUGGCCUGCGGUAUUGGUAUUGGUAUCGGUUUGUUUUUAUUUUUUAAAUCAGCAUUAAUGUUGUAUCUUUAUAGUUUGCUAGUUUAGAAAUUUCAAUUGCCUGGUAUUUGACACGUGAUGCUUGGAUUGCAUGUAUUUCAGGUUGUGUUUGUGCAAUUUUUUUACAAAAAGCAGCGGUGAUCUGCAGGUUUGUUCUGGUUGUUGAUUCUGCCAGCAUCUAAUUGCUCCUUUCACGUAUUUUAAAACUUAAAAUUUUCAGUUUGAUCAUUUAGUUGUAUGAUUUUCUUUUAUUGUGUUAUUGAUUCUUGGUUUCAAAUAUUCUUGUAAUUCUGAAAAGCUGUGUGAAGAAUUUGGUGCUAAUCUAUUUACAAAGAUGGCAGAGAUAUUGAUUGGGGCUUUCUUUUUCUUGGUCGAGAACACCAAUAAGUUCUCUUUUCCUGUCAAUUUUUAAUUAAUUCUUUUUGCUUGUUCUAUUUUUUCUUUUGUUCUUGUUUUGAUGUUGUGGCAUGCGACUGCUUUUCUUAGGCAUUAUGUUCCAAGGGGAUCCUCAAUUCUAGAAUGAAGUUAGGCUGUCCCUUCGUCCUCCUGUUGUGUUUCUACUGGUAUGUGAGUUUGACUCCUUGGUGCGAAUAACUGUUAUGUGGCCUUCGGACUUCUAUUUCUGCACAUAACCAUCUUUGGACAGUAAAAACACAGGUUUUUGCUUUAUCAUCUUGUGAUCGACAUUUGUGUUUUGAGAUUUAGAUCGAUUUUAGUUACAUUGCUGGACUGGUGUCACUAAUUGGUAAUCUCAGGUUAAUGAUCAUUACAUUACACAGAAAGUCGAGGGUAUGUCAACCAGGUUUGCAAUCUCAAGUUUUUAGCGUGGUGGGUGGAUUUUUAGGCAGCGAGUAACAUAUGCUUUUGCUGGUGAUGGUUGUUUCUUGGUGAUAUUGCUGGACAUGUGUCUAUUCAGUAAUCUCAGAUUAAUGCUUAAUAUAUUGCACAAAGUUGGUUGGUUGGUAACUUGCAUGUCACCAGGUCAGCAAUCUAAAGUUUUUCCAGUUCUGGUUGGAUAUUUGAAGACUGCGUAACAUAGCUUCUAUUGCCGGUGAUGUCUGUUUCAUAGUUUUGUGACGUGUAGUUUUUUAUUUCGUGAAGUAUUUUGGGAUAUUGAUGAGGAAGUUGUUUGAAAAUAUGUCAUUGAUCUGUUCACAGGAGGAGGUUAUGAUUUGGGUUUUCUCGUGCUUGAGCAAGAGUUUUUGAAGUUGGCCUUUAUGCGGAAAUUAGCGGAAAUUAGUGAAAUGCUUUUUUUUCCCUCUUUAUUCCAAGUGUUGUUUAGAUGCCUGCUAUAUUCUGUUCUCUCAGACAUUUCUCUAUUCGUUGUUUUGAUUUAUUUUAUAGAUUUUGAUGCGAAUUGGCUUUUUACAACUUUGGAUUCUUCCAAAUUUGGCUUGCUGUAUUGGUAUUGGUAUCGGCUUGUUUUUAUUUUUUAUUUUUUAUUUUUUAAAGCAGCAUUAAUGUUGUAUAUCUAUGGUUUGCUAGCUUGGCUAUCAUAAGUUUAGAAAUUUCAAUUGCUUGGUAUUUGACACGUGAUGCUUGGAUUGCAUGUAUUUCAGGUUGGGUUAGUGCAAUCUUUUAUGAAAAGCAGCGGUGCUCAGCAUGUUUGUUCUGGUUUUUUGAUUCUGCCAGCAUCUAAUUGCGCUUUUCACAUAUUUUAAAACUUAAAAUUUUCAGUUCUAUCAUUUAGUUGUAUGAUUUUGUUGAUUGUGUUAUUGAUUCUUGGUUUAACUAUUCUUGUAAUUCUGAAAAGCAGUGUGAAGAACUUGGUGCUAAUAUGUCUACAAAGAUGGCAGAGAUAUUGAUUGGGGUUUCUGUUUCUUUGUCGAUAGAGUUUGAUGUGGCAAUAAGUUCUCUUUUCCUGUCAAUUUUUAAGUAAUUCUUUUUGCUUGUUCUAUUUUUUCUUUGUUCUUGUUUUAAUGUUGUGGCAUGCGACUGCUUUUCUUAGGCAUUAUGUUCCAAGGGGAUCCUCAAUUCUAGAACAAAGUUAGGUUGACUCCUUGGUGCGAAUAACCUGUAUGUGGCCUUUGGAAUUCUAUUUCUGUACAAAACCAUCUUUGGGCAGUAAAACCACAGGUUUUUGCUUUAUCAUUUUGUGAUCGAUAUUUGGUGUUUUGAGAUUUGGAUUGAUUUAAUUUACAUUGCUGGACUGGUGUCACUAAUUGGUAAUCUCAGGUUAAUGCUCAUUACAUUACACAGAAAGUCGAGGGUAUGUCAACCAGGUCUGCAAUCUCAAGCUUUUACCGUAGUGGGCGGAUUUUUAAGCAGCGAGUAACAUAUGCUUUUGCUGGUGAUAUUUGUUUCUUGGUGAUAUUGCUGGACUUGUGUAGCUAUUCAGUAAUCUUAGAUUAAUGUUUGUUAUAUUGCACAAAGUUAGCCGGUUGGUACCUUAUAUGUCAACCAGGUCUGCAAUCUAAAGUUUUUCCAGUUCUAGGUGGAUAUUUGAAGACUCUGUAACAUAGCUUCUUUUGCCGGUGAUGUCCGUUUCAUGGUUUUGUGACGUGUAGUUUCCUAUUUCGUGAAGUUUUUUCGGAUAUUGAUGAGGAAGUUGUUUGAAAAUAUGUUGUUGAUCUGUUCACAGGCAGGUGGAGGUUAUGAUUUGGGUUUUCUCGUGAUUGAGCAAGAGUUUUUGAAGUUGGCCUUUCUGCGGAAAUUAGUGAAAUGCUUUUUUUUCCCUCUUUAUUCCACGUGUUGUUUAGAUGUCUACUAUAGGCUGUUCACUCAGACAUUUCUCUAUUCCUUGUUUUGAUUUCUUUUAUAGAUUUUGCUGCGAAUCGGCUUUCUACAACUUUGGGUUCUUGCAAAGUUGACUUGUCGGUAUUGGUAUCGGUUUGUUUUUAUUUUUUAUUUUUUUAAAUCAGCGUUAAUGUUGUAUCUUUAUGGUUUGCUGGCUUGGCUAUUAUAAGUUUAGAAAUUUUAAUUGCUUGGUAUUUGACAUGUGGCGCUUGGAUUGCAUGUAUUUCAGGUUGGGUUUGUGCAAUUUUUUAUGAAAAGCAGCGGUGCACAGCAUGUUUGUUCUGGGUGUUCAUUCUACCAGCAUCUAAUUGCACUUUUCACAUAUUUUAAAUCUUAAAAUUUUCAGUUCGAUCAUUUAGUUGCGACUUUUAUGCACAGAUUGGAGCUUUGGUCAGCAUUGCCAUUUAUUAUCAUUUGGAUCGUGUGAAACUGUUGUAUGACUUUGUUGAUUGUGUUAUUGAUUCUUGGUUUAACUAUUCUUGUAGUUCUUGAAAGGUGUAUGAAGAAUUUGGUGCUAAUAUAUCUACAAAUAUGGCAAAGAUUGGGCUUUCUUUUUCUUGGUCAAUAGAGUUCAAUGUGGCAAUAAGUUCACUUUUCCUGUCAAUUUUAAAGUAAUUCUUUUUGCUGCUUCUAUUUUUUCUUUGUUAUUGUUUUAAUGUUGUGGCCUGUGACUGCUUUUCUUAGGCAUUAUGUUCCGUGGGGAUCCUCAAUUCUAGAAUGAAGUUAGAUUGUCCCUUCAUCCUCCUGUUGUUAUUCUAUUGUAGAAUGAAGUUAGAUUGUCCCUUCAUCCUCCUGUUGUUUUUCUGUUGGUAUAUUAGUUGCCUCCUGGGUGCAAAUAACGAGUAUGUGGCCUCUGGACUUCUAUAUCUGCGCAAAACCAUCUUUGGACAGUAAAAGCAUAGGUUUUUGCUUUAUCAUAUUGUGAUCAACAUUUGGUGUUUUGAGAUUUGGAUUGAUUUUACAUUGCUGGACUGGUCGCUAAUUGGUAAUCUCAGUUUAACGCUCAUUACAUUACACAGAAAGUCCACAGAAAGUCAUGGGUAUGUCGACCAUGUCCGCAAUCUCAAGUUUUUACAGUACUGGGCGGAUUUUUAAGCACCGAGCAACAUAUGCUUUUGCUGGUGAUGUUUGUUUCUUGGUGUUGUGAAGUGUAGUUUCCUAUUUCAUGAAGUUUUUGGGAUAACUAAUGAGGAAGAUGUUUGAACGUUGAUCUAUUCACAGGUGGAGGCUGGGUUUUGGGCUUUCUCGUGUUUGAGCAAUUGAGUUUGUGAAUUUGGACCUUCUGCAUAAAUAAGCGAAAUUCUUUUCUUCUUCCCUCUUUAUUUCACUUAUUGUUUAGAAGUAUGCCAUGUGCUGUUCUCUCAUACAUGUACCUUUUCCUUGUCUUCCUUGUGUUGGGUUUCCAUGCAUUGCUAGUGGAAGAUUUCUUUAUCUUUAUUGUGAAUUUCUAGUUUCUUCCAAUACUUUGUUGAUUGUUGUUGGGGCUUCUUUUUCAACAGUGGUUAACGCUUUAGGAAUUCUUCUUCAUAGAAGGGUCUCUUUGAAGAUGCUGGUGAUCGAUUUCAACGAGGUUCUUCUUUGUGUUAGGUGAUGCAUUGCUACUUGAUUCUAUCAAUUUUGGUUUUUCUGCCAAAAGAUUUGUGUUGAUUGCUUGCAGGGUAGAUUUUCUUCGUCACAGAUUAGGGUUCUUUCAAUACGUAAGUGAUUGCUUUCAGAUGUGGUUUUCUUCAUAUGGUCAAGACUUUCAGGGAAGAUCUUGUGUUAGGCUUUGGUACAUCAUUACUUAAUCUGUCAUCUUUGUGACGAAUUUGGGUUUUAUUCCGAAAUUUUUAUGUUGAUUGCCUGCAGGGAGGAUUUUACUCGUCAUAGAUUGGGGGUUCUUUCGAUAAUCAAUUAUUGCUUCAUGGUGCUUUUCUUUGUUACAAUUUAGUGUUUCUUUCGGUAUGUCUGAUGUUCCCUUUUAGGGAAGAUCUUCUUUGUGUUAGGUUUGGAUUUGUUGCCGUUAGAGAAUUCCCAUCAUGCUUGUAACAAAUUUGGUUUUGCCCAAUAUUUUGUUUAUCAUUUGUCGCUAAGAUCGCUACAGGUUGUGUUGAUCGUUCUUGGGGAGAAUCUUCUGUGUUAAAGAUUAAUACUUUCUUUCAAUAUGGUGGGGAUCACUUUUGUGUGAUACUUUUUUUAUUUGAGGCAGUAAAGUGUACUUUUGCUUCUUGCUUAUGCAUCCGAAUGCUAUGGAGGGGGAGUUGAUAUGUUUGAUGAAUUUGGUGCUAAUAUUUCUACAAGGAGAUGAGAUUUUGAUUGGGGCUUUCUUGUGCCUGGUCAAAAGAGUUUGUUGUGGCGAUAAGUUCUCUUUUUCCCUCCUUUUUAUAAGGAAUUCGUACUGCUUCUUUUAAUGCUGUGGCCUGUUGAUAUUUUCAUUGACUCCUGGGGUUAAUAACCAGAACAUUGCCUUCGGACUUCAAUUUCUUCGCCAAACCAUCUGAUGUUGGACAGUAAAAGCAUAGGAUUUUGACAUGAGCUAGGCAUUUUGAGAAUUGGAUUGAUUUAUGUUACAUUGCUGGAUUUGUGUAACUAAUUGGUAAUCUCAUAUUGCUGCUCAUUACACAACACAAAGUAAUUCAGUGGGUGCCUUGUUCAAGAUGAUCAUGAUUGCUUUCAAUAUGAUGUUAAUCUUUCACAGCUAAGAUCGCUACAAAUUGUGUUGAUUGUUCUCGGGCAGAAUCUCCUUUGUUAAAGAUCAAGAUUUCUUUCAACAUGGUGGGUAAAGGGUGGACUUUUGCUUCUUUCUUAUGUGUGGUAAUGCUAUGGAGAGGAGUUAUGGUUUCAUAGUUAUUUGGAAAUAUAUUAUAUUAUUUGAUUUUGUCCUUUGAUUAUUGGUUUCACUAUUCUUGUAUUUCUUAAUGUGAAGAAUUUGGUGCUAAUAUGUCUACACGGAGAGGAGAUUUUGAUUGGGGCUUUCUUGUACCUGGUCUGCCGAGUUUUAUGUGGCAAUAAGUUUUCUUUUCCUUUCCUUUUUAUAAGGAAUUCUUUCUGCUUGUUAAAUCUUUCUUUGUUCUUGCUUUAAUGUUGUGGUAUGUGGCUGCUUUUCUUAGACAUUAUGUUCCAAGGGGAUCAGGAAUUCUGGAAUGAAAUUAGGCUCCCAUUGUCCUGUCGUCGUGUUUCUAUUGGUAUUUUAGUUUUGACUCCUUGGGGCGAAUAACCAGUAUGUUGCCUUUGGACUUUAAUUUUUGUGCAAAAUCAUGUUUGGACAGUAAAAAUACAGGUUUUGCUUUAUCCUCUUGUGAUUGACAUUAGGCUUUUUGAGAUUUGGGUUGACUUAAAGUUACAUUGCCGGACUUGUCUCUAAUUGGUGGUAUUCUCAUAUUAAUGGUCAUUACAUUACACAAAGUAAGUCGGCGGGUGUCAACCAGGUCUGCAAUCUAAAGUUUUUCCAAUGCUGGGUGGAUAUUUGAAGACCGAGUAACAUAGCUUCUUUUGCCUGUGAUGUUUUUUUCAGGGUCUUGUGACAUAGUUUCCUAUUUCAUGAAGUUUUUUGGGAUAUUGAUGAGGUAGUCGUUUGAAAACAUGCCAUUGAUCUAUUAACAGGUGGAGGAUAUGAUUUCGGCUUUCUUGUGAUUGAGGAAGAGUUUUUGAAGUUGGUCUUUCUGCAGAAAUUAGUGAAAUGCUUUUUUCCCCUCUUUAGUUCUUGUGAAUCAGUGAAAUGCCUGUUCUUAGAAUAGAAUUAUAAAAUGUCACUGCUUAUCCUUCUGAUCAGUAGGACAAGAAGAGGAGUUUUUGAUCACUCAUUUUGUACAAAGGGCAAUUGAAUGAGAAACUGAAGAUUUAAACCCAUUUUGAGGUAUUCCUGCACUACUGAGUAUGUUUGUCCUGGUUCUUGCUUCUACCAGCAUCUACUCGUACUUUUCCUAGCUUCUUCUUUUGUCUUAAAAUUAUUAAAUUGUUUUCGUGUUGCAAGCAACUUCUCACGCAGAAGACAGAAUGGAGCUUAGGUUUAGGGUUCAGAGUUGUGGACGUCUUCUAUGUUCUUGGACACGGUUCAGGCAUGCAGCAGUUUUGUGAUUUGUGGUUUGCAGUUGCUGCAAUUAUGAUAUUUAAAGAAUUUGAUGUUGACAUGUCUAGAUGAAUUUUGAUUUGGGUUUUCUUAUUUCUGCUGGUGCUGAACAACUAGAACUUAGCCCCUGAUUUCUGUGGAUAAGCAUCUUUGGGCAGUGAAAGGACAGGGUUUUGCUUUAUCCUCUUCAUUGACGACGCAAGUUAAGCAUUUUGAGGUUUGCAUGGAAUUAACCUCUGUUUCUAGAUUUGUUUUAAUCUCUGCAUAGUAGGAGAUUGUUGCCUGAUCAAAUUCUAUGGCGAAGAGUGUGAGUUAGUUGAUGCAAGUUAAUGCCUUCAAUGUUCUAUACAGAUAUUUGAGCUCCAAGUAACAUCUGACUCUAUAUGCUCUGAUGAUGAGGGAUGUGAUUUGGGCUUUCUGAUGUUCGAGCAAUUGACUUUGUGAAUCCUCAUCUUUUCCUCUUAUUUGGUCUGUAAAGCCUGCAGAAUUAAAAUCUGGUGAGCGAUGGCCUUUUGCAGCUCUUUGGCAUCUAGCAUGGUUUCGCUCAUCUUUGGUAUUCAAUGGAACUGUUCUUCUUUGUACCUUAAUGCAGCUUGUUAGGAUAUCAAGUUGGUGUGCUCAUAUCGUGUUGCAACUUAUGCAGAUUGGAGCUUUAGUCAGUGUUGUGAUUUAUUGAUCUGGCAGUUGUGUAAGAGUUGCAGGCUCUAAGAGAUAGGGUUCCAAAGUAAUGUUUUUAUCUCCUGUGUUAUUGGAUCGUUUGGGCAUAUAGUAUUUUUAUGAUUUGUGGUUUCCAAUUCCUUAAAUUAUGAUAUUUAAAGAGGUUAAUGUUAAUGUAUAAAUGAAAUAUCUUUAUUA